rnacentral:snRNA from 1 species
AAAAGUAUAAACGAGAGAAAAAGAGAAGGUGGUUUUCUCAGGACAAGGCUUAUCGACUGUGCUCCAGACGUGCUUAUCCCGGAGACUGCCCCAAGUGUGGAAAAUUCAACUGCAUAAUUUGUGGUAGUGGGUACUGCAUGCAUCCACCUC